ACGCGAAGAACCUUACCUGGACUCGAAAUCUAGUUGACAGUCUCAGAGAUGAGAUCUUCCCGCAAGGGACGGCUGGAUAGGUGCUGCAUGGCUGUCGUCAGCUCGUGUCGUGAGAUGUUGGGUUAAGUCCCGCAACGAGCGCAACCCUUACCCUUAGUUGCUCGCCCGCAAGGGAAGCACCCUAAGGGAACCGCCUCGGAUAACGGGGAGGAAGGUGGGGAUGACGUCAAGUCCUCAUGGCCUUUAUGCCCAGGGCUACACACGUGCUACAAUGGCCGGUACAAACCGUCGCUAACCCGCGAGGGGGAGCCAAUCGGAAAAAACCGGUCUCAGUUCGGAUUGCAGGCUGCAACUCGCCUGCAUGAAGCUGGAAUCGCUAGUAAUCACGUAUCAGAACGACGUGGUGAAUACGUUCCCGGGCCUUGUA
rnacentral:rRNA from 1 species